rnacentral:rRNA from 1 species
UACAGAGGAUGCAAGCGUUAUCCGGAAUUAUUGGGCGUAAAGAGCUUGUAGGCGGUUUGUCGCGUCUGCCGUGAAAAUUCGAGGCUCAACCUCGAACUUGCGGUGGGUACGGGCAGACUAGAGUGUGGUAGGGGAGACUGGAAUUCCUGGUGUAGCGGUGAAAUGCGCAGAUAUCAGGAGGAACACCGAUGGCGAAGGCAGGUCUCUGGGCCACUACUGACGCUGAGAAGCGAAAGCAUGGGGAGCGAACAGG